rnacentral:tRNA from 1 species
GGUUGUAGCUCAGUGGUAGAGCACUUACCAAGCAUGCAUGAGGCACUGGGUUCGAUCCCGGCACCA